GGUUGCGUGGCCCAGUGGUUAAGGCAUCUGCUUUACAAACGAUAACGCAGAGGAUCGCAGGUUCGAGCCCUGCCGCGAUCA
rfam:Neurospora tetrasperma FGSC 2509 unplaced genomic scaffold NETTE2scaffold_2, whole genome shotgun sequence.